rnacentral:rRNA from 1 species
AUGUGCUUUGACGUCUCGGUGUGCAAGUUGAUUUUGUUGCCGUUUUGUACAACCGGUCGCUUCAUCCUCUUCCUGUUCGACCUAUUGGAUAGAACAAUCACUAUACUCGACCCUCUUGCCCUAUCGGAUGCAUGGAAAAAGAAUCCUUCACAGAAGGACAUAUUUAAGAUUCAAUGUAUUUCAUUCCAUCUAAACAUAGCAUUACAAGAUGCAAUUCCUGGCUGGAAUGAUGAUGUUUUUAGAUGGCGUCGCAUCAUAUCAAUUGGAGUUCCAAAAAACCCAAACAGCAAUAUGUCUGGGUUUUUAGUUUUAAAGAUUAUGCGCACGUGGCAUGAUCAUGAACAUGGAUUACCUGUUGUCCCGGACGAUUAUGACCUACAGAAUCAGGUGUUGGUACACUUGCUGUCGUACAAGGACAAUGAAUGCGUAGAAAAUAUUCCACAAGUCGUGCGUGAUUUGGUGAAGAGAAUUGGGAUAAACUUUUUUUAG